GUGUCAGCCGCCGCGGUAAUACGUAGGGAGCGAGCGUUGUCCGGAUUUACUGGGUGUAAAGGGUGCGUAGGCGGCUCUGCAAGUCAGGUGUGAAAACUAUCGGCUCAACUGAUAGACUGCAUUUGAAACUGUGGAGCUUGAGUGAAGUAGAGGCAGAUGGAAUUCCCGGUGUAGCGGUGAAAUGCGUAGAGAUCGGGAGGAACACCAGUGGCGAAGGCGAUCUGCUGGGCUUUAACUGACGCUGAGGCACGAAAGCAUGGGUAGCAAACAGGAUUAGAUACCCUGGUAGUCCAUGCCGUAAACGAUGAUUACUAGGUGUGGGGGGUCUGACCCCCUCCGUGCCGGAGUUAACACAAUAAGUAAUCCACCUGGGAAGUACGACCGCAAGGUUGAAACUCAAAGGAAUUGACGG
rnacentral:rRNA from 1 species